rnacentral:rRNA from 1 species
UACAGAGGGUGCGAACGUUGCUCGGAAUUACUGGGCGUAAAGCGCGUGUAGGCGGGUCGCAAGUCAGGCGUGAAAUCCCCAGGCUCAACCUGGGAACUGCGCUUGAAACUGCCGGUCUUGAGUAUCGGAGAGGGUGGCGGAAGUUCCUGGUGUAGAGGUGAAAUUCGUAGAUAUCAGGAGGAACACCGGUGGCGAAGGCGGGUCUCUGGGCCGAUACUGGACGCUGAGGAGCGAAAGCGUGGGGAGCGAACAGGAA